rnacentral:lncRNA from 1 species
AUGAUGGAUAAUGUUGCCAGUCGAGUUAUCAGCUACAUUCAGAAUUCUGCUCCACCUGCACCCAUCUCUGUCAGUGACAUCAUCAACCUUCUACAGCGAGAUGAUGUGAGAGCAUACAUUGCCGGUCCGCCUGGUCCUCCAGGACCUCCGGGACCACCGGGUCUAGGCGGCUACAGCUACGGCACUCAAGAUAUCGCUGAGCGGGUCUUUGCGCUGAUGAACGAGAGGGGAGCGGUCGGACCUCCUGGACCCCCAGGUCCCCCUGGUAUUCCUGGAGGCAUCAUAGGAAGUUGGUAUCCAACUCAACUGGGGCCUCCCGGACCUCCAGGACCUCAAGGACCUCCAGGUCCGCCAGGAGAUCCUGGUCCUCCUGGGCCAGCAGGCCCACCAGGAUUUGGAACAUACCUCAGCUCAGACAUACGCGACUACCUGCAGAAUGUUGCUCUCACAGGACCUCCAGGCCCUCCAGGCCCACCUGGAGCUGAAGGCCCUCCUGGUCCAUUUGGUAGCUUGGUCUCAUAUAAUGACCACGACAGAAGAGAGAAGCUGAGACCUGAACGCCAAGACUACGCUGGGGGCCAUGGUGGUUUACAUGAAGCCAUGUUUGGCCAGCCCCGACCAGGCCCUCCAGGACCCCCAGGGCAAAAGGGAGAGCCAGGUUUGCCUGGUGUGACAGACUGGAGCACAGAUGCGAUUGACUACUCUGGAGUGGCUUUAAAAGUAACCGAUUACAUCAAAUCCAACGGUUUGCUUCUUGACGUAAUGAAGGACAACAGCCACGUUUUCAAAGGACCUCCAGGACCACGAGGGCCCCCAGGUCCCCCAGGCUACAGCCGACUGUAUGGUUCCCAUGGAAACGCAACCGAUCUGAUGGAGAUCAUCAAAACUCAUGGAGCUGUUGUGGGACCACCGGGACCACCCGGCCAGAAAGGUGACAGAGGGAUUCCAGGACCAAGAGGGGAAAAAGGUGAAUCCGGCUCUACUGGACCUCACAGACGUCACAGAAUCCAUGGAGAAAGAGAUGCAGAAGGACUUCAUGGAUUUUGAGGAUUUCCAGGACAGAAG